rnacentral:rRNA from 1 species
AGCUUGCUUCUUUGCUGACGAGUGGCGGACGGGUGAGUAAUGUCUGGGAAACUGCCUGAUGGAGGGGGAUAACUACUGGAAACGGUAGCUAAUACCGCAUAACGUCGCAAGACCAAAGAGGGGGACCUUCGGGCCUCUUGCCAUCGGAUGUGCCCAGAUGGGAUUAGCUAGUAGGUGGGGUAACGGCUCACCUAGGCGACGAUCCCUAGCUGGUCUGAGAGGAUGACCAGCCACACUGGAACUGAGACACGGUCCAGACUCCUACGGGAGGCAGCAGUGGGGAAUAUUGCACAAUGGGCGCAAGCCUGAUGCAGCCAUGCCGCGUGUAUGAAGAAGGCCUUCGGGUUGUAAAGUACUUUCAGCGGGGAGGAA